rnacentral:tRNA from 1 species
GAGGGCGUAGCUCAGCAGGUAGAGCACCGCCCUUUUAAGGCGGGUGUCCCGGGUUCGAGCCCCGGCGCCCUCA